CUGGUGUACCAGUUGUUCCGCCAGGAGCAUAGCUGGGUAGCUACGUGUGGCAAGGAUAAGUGCUGAAAGCAUCUAAGCAUGAAGCCCCCCUCAAGAUGAGACUUCCCAUCACUUCGAGUGAGUAAGAUCCCUCAGAGACGAUGAGGUUGAUAGGUCCGAGGUGGAAGCGUGGUGACACGUGUAGCUGACGGAUACUAAUAGAUCGAGGACUUAACUAA
rnacentral:rRNA from 1 species